rnacentral:lncRNA from 1 species
CGGAGUAAACCCUCCUGUUUGCAUGAAGUUUCUCUCUGCUGCAACCAAUUCAAAGGUGGACAACUUCCUACAAGGAUCCACUUAAUACUCAAAUAAGUAAUGAUAUCUCAAGCAUGUGAAAGUGUAAUGAUGCUUCAAUUUUUCUUCUUUUACCAUUAUGACGAUUUUGAAUGUAACUCGUAUAUAAAGAUCUUAGAUAAUGAAAGGGCUUGUGAAUUGUGAUUCAUGAUUGUCAAAACAGUUGCUGUAACCCAUUAGGUUAGACGAGAGAAGAUGCUAACCUGAGGCAAAAUCAAGGCAAAGGAGGGUUUUUUUAAGCCGAUUGCGGCGCCGGAGAUAUGAGCGAUUAGCACCGGAAAGAGAAGAAAAAUCGAUUCUUUCAAUUGGGUUUUCGAAGGAAUCUUCACAUGAGCAUUAGAGCAUCAGCAGUGGAGCAAGCUGAAGGGUGUUAGAAGUAAUAAAA